rnacentral:rRNA from 1 species
UACGAAGGGGGCUAGCGUUGCUCGGAAUCACUGGGCGUAAAGCGCACGUAGGCGGAUCUUUAAGUCAGGGGUGAAAUCCCAAGGCUCAACCUUGGAACUGCCUUUGAUACUGGGGAUCUCGAGUCCGGAAGAGGUUGGUGGAACUGCGAGUGUAGAGGUGAAAUUCGUAGAUAUUCGCAAGAACACCAGUGGCGAAGGCGGCCAACUGG